rnacentral:lncRNA from 1 species
GAGAAAGAUGAAGUAGAUAACCUAAAGGAUGAGAAUGAGAUUCUCCGAGAUGCCCUAAGAUGUUGUACAAUACAAUUGGAGUCAGCUACUAACAAGCUUGAGGCUGCUGAGAAGGAGAUAGAGCGAAAGGAAAAAGAGGAGGAAGAUGAAGUGGAUAACCUAAAGGAUGAGAAUGAGAUUCUCCGAGAUGCCCUAAGAUGUUGUACAAUACAAUUGGAGUCAGCUACUAACAAGCUUGAGGCUGCUGAGAAGGAGAUAGAGCGAAAGGAAAAAGAGGAGGAAGAUGAAGUGGAUAAUCUAAAGGAUGAAAAUGAGAUUCUCCGAGAAACCCUAAGACAAUGUACGAAGCAGUUGGAGUCAGCUACAAACAAGCUUGAGGCUGCUGAGAAGAAGAGAGAGCAAAAGGAAAAAGAGGUGAGCAUAGCAAGGAAUUAAAUGCUGGAAAAUCAUUCAUCAGGUUACCAGGUUUCACAGAGAAAAUCUCACUCCUCUACAAUAGAAGGAAAAUGAAUCAUACUGUCUCUGGUCUCUAUACAGGAGCACUUCUAACUGAUUUCUAACUGAUUUCUCCUUUGGUUUCCAGUGUUUCUAUCCUCUUAUAACUCUGUCUUUUAAAUUUUUCCUCUUUAUGUUGUCAUUUCUCAGUGUUCCCACUUCUUGAAUUCUUAGUAUGAAUUCUAGGCUUUUUGGUGACUCCUUCAUUUCUCCCUGAAUCUAUAUUCCUUCCUUUCUCCAGAAAGAAAAGAUUUCUCUUCACAGAAGACCAAAAAUUUCAUUUUAGGAAAAGUCUUUUGGAUUAGGAAGUUAGAUAUAAUCUAGUCUUGAGAUUCUCAAUGUACUAAUUUCUAGAGUCAAAUUCCAUGAGCUUCCACAACAGUAGGUUUUACAAAUUCAAAUUCUUGGCCUUUGCAAUAAAUAGAAAGUAAUACACCA